GAGUGUCUAGUUUAAUUCUUUAUAAAACAUUAAAUUGUCAAAUUAAAAAUACUUUUUAUUAAGUGACCCUCU
rnacentral:tRNA from 1 species